rnacentral:rRNA from 1 species
UUAGGUAGCUAUUGCGACGGGGCUCCACCUCUUCCCAUCCCGAACAGAGAAGUUAAACCCGUUUGCGCCGAUGGUACUGCUAUAACAAGUGGAAGAGUAGGUAGCUGCCAAAU